rnacentral:lncRNA from 1 species
GUUUCAUUUCUGAGUAACUCAGGCUUGCUGAGAACACUCCGAGGUGCCAAAGAGAGGUGACACCAGUUGUGAUCCAGGGCCACGGUUCCAGAAGUCACCAAUCAUCAAGGUCUUCUCCAAGAAAGGAAGGUGAGGAAGAACAGAAACUUCAUCUACAAAGGAAGUCCUACCAUUACAGCUCUGGCCAUGCCCAGGGUAGCCAUGAGGAGACUGGAAGCAGCUCCUGAGAAGCCAUGUCACACACAGGACCACGUAAGAGAGGGGACCCUCCUCAAGGCACAAGUCAGAUAAAGCUGUGUCUGUGUUUGGUGAAGGCCUCCUGCAGUGGACAUUUCACUUAAUGCUACAUCGAAAGCAAUGCUGUGAACGAAAACUUCUACGCACACA